GACGAACGCUGGCGGCGUGCUUAACACAUGCAAGUCGAAGAUAGCGGCGAACGGGUGAGUAAUACGUAGGUAACCUGCCCUCCUUUUUGGGAUAAGCCUUGGAAACGGGGUCUAAUACCGAAUAAAGGGGGAUGGGCUCGCGGCCUAUCAGCUUGUUGGUGGGGUGAUGGCCUACCAAGGCGGUGACGGGUAGCCGGGCUGAGAGGGUGACCGGCAACAUUGGGACUGAGGUACGGCCCAGGCUCCUACGGGAGGCAGCGGGGGGGGGUAGUGCACAAUGGGCGAAAGCCUGAUGCAGCAACGCGUCGUGGAGGAUGACACUUGUCGGAGCGUAAACUCCUUUUGCGUUACCUAACGAAUAAGCACCGGCUAACUCCGUGCCAGCAGCCGCGGUAAUUC
rnacentral:rRNA from 1 species